rnacentral:rRNA from 1 species
UACGUAGGGUGCGAGCGUUGUCCGGAAUUAUUGGGCGUAAAGGGCUCGUAGGCGGUUUGUCGCGUCGGGAGUGAAAACCUUGGGCUUAACUCAGGGCUUGCUUUCGAUACGGGCAGACUAGAGGUAUGCAGGGGAGAACGGAAUUCCUGGUGUAGCGGUGAAAUGCGCAGAUAUCAGGAGGAACACCGGUGGCGAAGGCGGUUCUCUGGGCAUGAUCUGACGCUGAGGAGCGAAAGCGUGGGGAGCGAUCCGG